UACGUAGGGGGCUAGCGUUGUCCGGAUUCAUUGGGCGUAAAGGGCGCGCAGGCGGCCCGGAAAGUCGGAUGUGAAAACUCGGGGCUCAACCCCGAGCGUGCAUCCGAUACUGCCGGGCUUGAGGCAGGUAGGGGAGAUCGGAAUUCCUGGUGUAGCGGUGAAAUGCGCAGAUAUCAGGAGGAACACCGGUGGCGAAGGCGGAUCUCUGGGCCUGUCCUGACGCUGAGGCGCGAAAGCUAGGGGAGCGAACAGG
rnacentral:rRNA from 1 species